UACGAAGGGGGCUAGCGUUGCUCGGAAUGACUGGGCGUAAAGGGCGCGUAGGCGGAUGGCACAGUCAGAUGUGAAAUUCCCGGGCUUAACCUGGGGGCUGCAUUUGAUACGUGUUGUCUUGAGUUCGGAAGAGGGUCGUGGAAUUCCCAGUGUAGAGGUGAAAUUCGUAGAUAUUCGGAAGAACACCAGUGGCGAAGGCGGCUCGCUGGACCAUGUAUUGACGCUGAGGUGCGAAAGCGUGGGGAGCAAACAGG
rnacentral:rRNA from 1 species